rnacentral:rRNA from 1 species
GACGAACGCUGGCGGCGUGCUUAACACAUGCAAGUCGUACGGUAAGGCCCUUUCGGGGGUACACGAGUGGCGAACGGGUGAGUAACACGUGAGUAACCUGCCCACAACUUUGGGAUAACGCUAGGAAACUGGUGCUAAUACUGGAUAUGUGCUCCUGCUGCAUGGUGGGGGUUGGAAAGCUCCGGCGGUUGUGGAUGGACUCGCGGCCUAUCAGCUUGUUGGUGGGGUAGUGGCCUACCAAGGCGGCGACGGGUAGCCGGCCUGAGAGGGUGACCGGCCACAUUGGGACUGAGAUACGGCCCAGACUCCUACGGGAGGCAGCAGUGGGGAAUAUUGCACAAGGGGCGCAAGCCUGAUGCAGCAACGCCGCGUGCGGGAUGACGGCCUUCGGGUUGGAAACCGCUUUCAGCAGGGACGAAGCUUUUUGUGACGGUACCUGCAGAAGAAGCACCGGCUAACUACGUG